CCCGUGCGCUACCUGCAGUCGAGCGGAUGAAGGGAGCUUGCUCCUGGAUUCAGCGGCGGACGGGUGAGUAAUGCCUAGGAAUCUGCCUGGUAGUGGGGGAUAACGUCCGGAAACGGGCGCUAAUACCGCAUACGUCCUGAGGGAGAAAGUGGGGGAUCUUCGGACCUCACGCUAUCAGAUGAGCCUAGGUCGGAUUAGCUAGUUGGUGGGGUAAAGGCCUACCAAGGCGACGAUCCGUAACUGGUCUGAGAGGAUGAUCAGUCACACUGGAACUGAGACACGGUCCAGACUCCUACGGGAGGCAGCAGUGGGGAAUAUUGGACAAUGGGCGAAAGCCUGAUCCAGCCAUGCCGCGUGUGUGAAGAAGGUCUUCGGAUUGUAAAGCACUUUAAGUUGGGAGGAAGGGCAGUAAGUUAAUACCUUGCUGUUUUGACGUUACCGACUUAAUAAGCACCGGCUAACUUCGUGCCAGCUUCCGCGGUAGUACGGGGGGGGCAAGGGUCUUCCCGAUUUUCUGAACUUAACGCCCGGCUACGCGGCUUGUGCGGGUGCAUGUCAAUUCAUUGGACUCUUACCCUGGAGUGCGUACUCCCCAGGGGGGCUACAUUACUCGUAAGUUGUGCCACUAAUAUUUCGGGGAUCCCAACAGUCAUUCAAUAUCUAUUUACUAUUAGCUCUUUUUGUGCUAUCCUAGCCUGUUUCCUACUUCUACAUUUGCACCUCUUGUUNUGUAUUAUAUUCUGUAUUU
rnacentral:rRNA from 1 species